GGGGGGAGGGAGAGAGAGGGGAAGCGAGAGAGAGAGAGAGAGAGAGGGGAAGAGGAAGAGGGAGGUAAGGCGGAUCUUAGUUAGAUGAAACAGACCCACACGUUUACAAUAGAAGCACCGUACCGUUUAGUUCAAAACGCUGUUUUCUACCGGUCCUGAGACUUUCUACUUUAACCAGCCUGUGCGUGCGUGACCUUUGACGCUCGGUGCGUCGCAGAGAGGACGAGGCGGUUCGGGAUCCGGCGACCAGCCGCUCGGACGUCCAAGGUGAUAAAAGUCAAGUAUUUCUUCCCAGAGAGAAGAGGAGUCUCAUGUACCACGCGCUGAUACAGAAGGGUUUGUGAAGCCAUUUUCAGCAGCGGGGUGGACCAGAGAUAUCUUUCAUGAGAACAUCCAGAGCCCUUCCACCCAGAGCCCUUCCACCCAGAGCCCUUCCACCCAGAGCCCUUCCAUCCAGAGCCCUUCCACCCAGAGCCCUUCAAUCCAGAGCCCUUCCAUCCAGAGCCCUUCCACCCAGAGCCCUUCCAUCCAGAGCCCUUCCACCCAGAGCCCUUCCACCCAGAGCCCUUCCACCCAGAGCCCUUCCACCCAGAGCCCUUCCACCCAGAGCCCUUCCACCCAGAGCCCUUCCUAAUGUCAGUCAAACCGCUAAGACGACGCUGUCAUUUUAACACAUUUUAGCAGACAAGACGACAACUCAAAAUCCCAAGAUAAUGUUGCCCAUCAACCGUUCUCUUGUCCAGAGCAACUUACAGUAGUGAAUGCAUUACAUUUCAUACGUUUUUUUUCUCCCCCCCGUGGGAAUCGAACCCACAACCCUUGGCGUUGCAAACACCAUGCUCUACCACCUGAGCCACACGGGAUUUUCACACACUUUGAGUUGAUUUUGAUCGUAGCCUAAGUAAUUCAAGACAAAAGGCAGAAUAUGGGUGUUGAAACAUUUGGAUGGGCACUACAUGUGAAAUAGAUUUUCACAUUUUCAACUUGUGAACAAGACUCGGAUGUAUUCGUCAAGAAGACUGAUAUAGGCAAAAUUCUGAGUCCAAGUCAAAAGUGUUAAAGAGAAAAGUCAAUACUUGGGGGGACAUUCUUUCUGUCCCCUUUUGUUCGCGAGGCUUUGGGAAUGAAACGUGGGUCUUUAUAGAGAAGAAAGACCUGCACACUGCUCUUUCCAGCAUCCCUUCAGUUCACUACGCUACUGAAACGUGGGUCUUUAUAGAGAAGAAAGACCUGCACACUGCUCUUUCCAGCAUCCCUUCAGUUCACUACGCUUCUGAAACACGGUCGACCACAACACACCGUCGUCUCUCUGCUUCCUCAUUCACUUGACUUCUAUGCUGUCGGCCGCUGCACCUUUUACCCAACGAGGUUAUCUGACCGCUUUAUCUUCUCCAGCUUUACGAUGUUGAGAGAUGGAACAGAGAUGGGAUGCGGUCCAGCUGGGACCGGAACCUUCCACCGGGUCAGAGUUCUGAUUGGUCCCCUCUCAAUCCUAACCCAGGCUUGUGAUUGGCCUCCGUCCAGCGGUCGUCCAUAGGGGAUGUCCACUGGUCCAGGAAGUUGUAUUUUAGGAAGUUCCCAGACUCUGGUAUCAGUUUAAAAGUCACCAGUAACUCCUCCCUUCACUGCCCUGUGAGCUGUAAUGUGUUGGACAGGAAACGGACGGGUUUUUCUUCUGAUGGGAAUAUGAGUUUCCUCUGUAAUCCUAGACCUAGCUCUAC
rnacentral:tRNA from 1 species